rnacentral:tRNA from 1 species
GGAGGAAUGGUCGAGAGGCUUAUGGCAUUGGUCUUGAAAACCGAAGUGUGUAACAGCACCGUAGGUUCGAAUCCCACUUUCUCUUCCA